rnacentral:rRNA from 1 species
GUGGCGAACGGGUGAGUAACACGUAAGGAUCUGCCUUUUGGUGAAGAAUACCUUCGAGAAAUCGGAGUUAAUGCUGCAUAAGUCUCAGUAAAAUGAGGGAAAGACGGCCUAAUAGCUGUCGCCGAAAGAUGAACUUGCGGCCUAUUAGUUAGUUGGUAGGGUAAAGGCCUACCAAGACAAAGAUGGGUAGCCGGCCUGAGAGGGUGUACGGCCACAUUGGGACUGAGAUACGGCCCAGACUCCUACGGGAGGCAGCAGUGGGGAAUAUUGCGCAAUGGACGAAAGUCUGACGCAGCGACGCCGCGUGAGGGAUGACGGUCUUCGGAUUGUAAACCUCUGUUAAGUGGGAAGAAUACGCAGGAGUAAUAUGCCUGUGGGCUGACGGUACCACUAGAGAAAGCACCGGCAAACUUCGUGCCAGCAGCCGCGGUAAUACGAAGGGUGCAAGCGUUAUUCGGAGUUACUGGGCGUAAAGAGCGCGUAGGCGGCUUAUUAAGUCAUUAGUUAAAUUCCCUGGCUCAACCGGGGACAUGCUGAUGAUACUGAUGAGCUCGAGUUCAAGAGAGAGAAGUGGAAUUCUUGGAGUAGCGGUAAAAUGCGUAGAUCUCAAGAGGAACACCGAUUGCGAAGGCAGCUUCUUGGCUUGAUACUGACGCUGAGGCGCGAAAGCGUGGGGAGCAAACAGGAUUAGAUACCCUGGUAGUCC